GCCGAAGUGGCGGAACUGGUAGACGCGCAGCGUUCAGGGCGCUGUGGGCAUUAGCUCAUGGAGGUUCGAGUCCUCUCUUCGGCA
rnacentral:tRNA from 11 species